GGAAGCGGCGGACGGGUGAGUAACACGUGGGCAACCUGCCUGUAAGACUGGGAUAACAUCGGGAAACCGAAGCUAAUACCGGAUAGGAUCUUCUCCUUCAUGGGAGAUGAUUGAAAGAUGGUUUCGGCUAUCACUUACAGAUGGGCCCGCGGUGCAUUAGCUAGUUGGUGAGGUAACGGCUCACCAAGGCAACGAUGCAUAGCCGACCUGAGAGGGUGAUCGGCCACACUGGGACUGAGACACGGCCCAGACUCCUACGGGAGGCAGCAGUAGGGAACC
rnacentral:rRNA from 1 species